AGUCGAGGGGCAGCGGGAUUGAAGCUUGCUUCAAUUGCCGGCGACCGGCGCACGGGUGAGUAACGCGUAUCCAACCUUCCGCUUACUCGGGGAUAGCCUUUCGAAAGAAAGAUUAAUACCCGAUGGUAUCUUAAGCACGCAUGAGAUUAAGAUUAAAGAUUUAUCGGUAAGCGAUGGGGAUGCGUUCCAUUAGGCAGUUGGCGGGGUAACGGCCCACCAAACCUACGAUGGAUAGGGGUUCUGAGAGGAAGGUCCCCCACAUUGGAACUGAGACACGGUCCAAACUCCUACGGGAGGCAGCAGUGAGGAAUAUUGGUCAAUGGGCGAGAGCCUGAACCAGCCAAGUAGCGUGAAGGAUGACGGCCCUACGGGUUGUAAACUU
rnacentral:rRNA from 1 species